AGCGAACGCUGGCGGCAGGCUUAACACAUGCAAGUCGAGCGGGCAUCCUUGUGGUGUCAGCGGCAGACGGGUGAGUAACGCGUGGGAACGUGCCCUUCGGUUCGGAAUAACUCUGGGAAACUUGAGCUAAUACCGGAUACGUGCGAGAGCAGCAUGGUUUAUCUGCCGAAGGAUCGGCCCGCGUCUGAUUAGCUAGUUGGUGAGGUUAUGGCUCACCAAGGCGAGGAUCAGUAGCUGGUCUGAGAGGAUGAUCAGCCACACUGGGUCUGAGACACGGCCCAGACUCCUACGGGAGGGAGCAGAGGGGGAUAUAGGACAAUGGGGGCAACCCUGAUCCAGCCAUGCCGCGUGAGUGAUGUCGGCCUUAGGGUUGUAAAGCUCUUUUCUCCGGGACGGUAAUGACGGUACCGGAGGAAUAAGCCCCGGCUAACUUCGUG
rnacentral:rRNA from 1 species